UUCCUUUAAGUGCACUCACAAACACUCUGCAUGAAAUAAUUAAAGUUCUUACUGAAUUUCCCCAGUAACUGGAUGGGAUGCUGAGAGCAGCUGCAGGAACAAUUUUUGUUGUCCGGAGUACAGUCCUCUCCAUCUGCAGUUGUCAUCUAUAAAUGGCCCACUUGUAAGGGGCUUGUCUCCAAUGGCAUCUGAAGCUUGUUGUCUCCUGCUCUCCACAAAAUUUGGAAUUCUCCAGCAAAAGGAGACAACCCUUUCCACUUUGGGCUCUAUGGGUUCUAUGUUGCAUUUCUGAAACAGAAAUGGAUUUUAUGGAUAUUAUGAAAUGCACCAGAAAAAGAUUUUCAAUGUAAGAUUUUGAAGCCAGGUACUUGGCACAUUGAAGCCUUCUCUGGGCAUUUGUGUAGAUGUAGGUUGAUGUUCAUUCUACAAUUCAAAAAGAGUUAUUUUUAAGGAAUGCAGCUGAUCGCGUGGCACCAGACACAAGUUAGGACUGCUCGUAGUCCUCGAUUUGGAUAACAGAAGGAUAAGUUUGUCACCUGCUAUUGACGAUUGAAAUGAUAAGAGAAUACAGCAAUACUGCAAUUCAUGCUAAAAAUUACCGAAAAAUACUUCACUUAUGACAAUCGCCUAACACCAAAAUAUCGCAAUGCUGAAUUAUCCUAAUUAAUACAACAUACCGUGGUAAU